rnacentral:rRNA from 1 species
UUGGAGAGUUUGAUCCUGGCUCAGGGUGAACGCUGGCGGCGUGCCUAAUGCAUGCAAGUUGAGCGAUCCACUUCGGUGGAGAGCAGCGAACGGCUGAGGAACGCGUAGGUGACCUGCCCUUUAGUGGGGGACAACACCGGGAAACCGGUGCUGAUACCGCAUAAGUUCUUCUGGUUGAGGCCAGAAGAGGAAAGUCGUAAGACGCUGAAGGAGGGGCCUGCGUCCCAUCAGGUAGUUGGGGGGGUAACGGCCCACCAAGCCGACGACGGGUAGCUGGUCUGAGAGGACGAUCAGCCAGAGGGGGACUGAGACACGGCCCCCACUCCUACGGGAGGCAGCAGCAGGG